GACGAACGCUCGCGGCGUGCUUAACACAUGCAAGUCGAACGGAAAGGCCCCUUCGGGGGUACUCGAGUGGCGAACAGGUGAGUAACACGUGAGUAACCUGCCCUUGACUUCGGGAUAACUUCAGGAAACUGGGGCUAAUACCGGAUAGGAAUCCUUGCUGCAUGGUGGGGGUUGGAAAGCUUCGGCGGUUUUGGAUGGACUCGCGGCUUAUCAGCUUGUUGGUGGGGUAGUGGCUUACCAAGGCUUUGACGGGUAGCCGGCCUGAGAGGGCGACCGGCCACAUUGGGACUGAGAUACGGCCCAGACUCCUACGGGAGGCAGCAGUGGGGAAUAUUGCACAAUGGGCGGAAGCCUGAUGCAGCAACGCCGCGUGCGGGAUGACGGCCUUCGGGUUGUAAACCGCUUUCAGCAGGGGCGAAGCUUGUGGUGACGGUACCUGCAGAAGAAGCACCGGCUAACUACGUG
rnacentral:rRNA from 1 species